ensembl:lncRNA
GGGUGUGGAGGCGUAGGCAGCAGGAACUAGGUCUCUACACGCUAGGCAAAAAUAAAACGCUCCAGCGAUUGCUGAAUCCACGUUAACCAAAAAGAAGUAAUGCAGAACCGGCGUGUCUAUCGAGUCUUUUCCCAUUUCCUUUAAUAUAAGAGAACGCCUCGCGGCUAUUCAGAGAGAUAAUUGCAAGCCUUUUCCUUAUCUGCAUAUUUGCCUUAUUAUAAAAGCCAUAAGGUAUGUUGUAACACAAGCGCUCUGCCACACAAAUUCCACCUUGAACUUUAUCUGGAGGAAUCUGCAGGAACUCAUUAACUGUGGAAUGUUUUGGGUCAGGCAAGGUGUUGGUUGCAGUACGGUGAAAAGUUUAAAUAUUUAUUUAGAGCUAGUGCUCAGAAAUUUGCUCCCUGAAGUACCAUUGUGCACCAGCAGUUGCUACACCCGGGUUAUUCUUCGGAGUUUCUGCAGCACGGAGCACUCCAGGAUCUUGGUGUGUGGUUGCUGUUCCCGGCUGGUCUAAUAAUGGGGACAGUUUCAAGGGGAGCAACGUGAAGCGCCUGUAACUUUUCUCAUGGCACCACCUAGUGGAGUUAUCGUUAAGAAGAACGGCGUGCAGGUUGCUGAUGGGGAGGCUCUCUGCCCGGUUUGUCACUGACCUUUCAGUGGGUCUGCGGUCACGUUUUCUGCCUCUGGCACUCCUCUGCAGCCACAGGUACAGUACUGCGCAUCUGUCUGCACUAUGUGGAACACAUACCCUUAGCUGGAAUAACAGAAAAAGAGUGGAAAGAUUUGAGUGAUGAGAGGACAGAUCACCCUAAGUGAAACACAGCGUUGGAUCCCAUCUCUUUUUAUUUGGAAGUCUGCAUGUAAAUGUUUUUGUCAGUAUGUAUAUGGGAAACAACUUUGGUAGUUGCUGAAAAAAUUAAUAUUUUGAAUUGCUGUCUAUUAAAAUAUUAUUGAUUGGCUGGUGGCUGCAUUUGAUGUUUGUGUUAACAAACUUUGUCACCUUUGAAAAGAAUCUGCCUUACUAUGCAAAAGGUAAAAUAAAGAUUUCCACUCGCCAAGGGAGAGAGAUGUUAUGCAAGACACUGUUAAUGGAACGGCACAGAGGGCAGUGCUAGAACUGUGCCUCCUUCAUACAGAAUCAUAGGAAGGCCUGGGUUGAAAAGGACCACAAUGAUCCUCCAGUUUCAACCCCCCUGCUAUGUGCAGGGUCACCAACCAUCAGACCAGGCUGCCCAGAGCCACAUCCAGCCUGGCCUUGAAUGCAUGCAGGGAUGGGGCAUCCACAAGAUUACAGGUUAGAAGACUUCUUG